AUAAUGUAUGUUAUUAUUGAGUAAGAAUUAAAUUUCGUACAUUAAAGCUGUUCAUUGAAACUUCUUAAUAUUUCUUUGACAUAAUAACUAUAUUAAUCAUGAGUUUUAUUCUCGUUAACUAUAAUGUAACAAUGGUGGACUACAUGAUUAUGUUUUACAUGCACAAAGGUUCGAUUUUUUUUAUAUACACAAUACGUGGAUAGUCAUGAACUUUAUUUUGUUUAAGUUUUACUUUAGUACAUUUGUUGAUGCUGAUUCAAGUGACAAGUGAACGAGAUUAUUCUCUUUGCAUAACUUUGAAUUCCUUAAAAACAUAUCUAAAAAUAUAUAAAAUAUGUUAUCUGCUGGCUAUUUCUAUUCAUGAAUCGUUUAUGUAUUUUGCUUAAUUAGUACCUAACUUAAGAUUUCAUUUAAUUUGUUUUGUUAUUGGGUUUAAGAAAAAAAAUAAAAAAAAUAAAAGAAAGAAGCAAAAGAAUAAUAAAUAAAUAAACAGAAAGUAACAAAUAUACAUAAAAGAGGGAAAAAUAGAAAUAAGAAAAGAGAUCAACAAAAUAGAGCGUGAAAAAAAAGAAUGAAAGAAAAAGAAAAACAGAAUAAGAAAUAUAUGUAGAAAAUGUAUAAAAUAAAAGAUUCUCUUUUUAAAAAGCAAAAGGUUUUAAAAACGUGCAAGAAAAUUGAGAAAAAGAAAAGAAAAGAAAAUAGGGAAAAAUAUUAAAAGAGAAUUUUCUCAAAGAAUAGUCCUAAUGUUUUUAAACUUUCUUAUUAAAACAAAUUAUAUAUUUCAUAAAAAUUUAUUUUGAAUCUAAAUAGUAAUAAUAAUAAUAAAAAUCCUAAAAUUAUCAUAACUCUAAAAAUCUAACCCCUAAAUAAAUCAUAAAAUCUUUCUUUUAAAUAAACAAAUAAAUAAAGAAAAUAAGAAAAAUAAGAAAAGGGGAAAAUACGAGUAUAAGCAAAAAAAAAAAUAUAACUAAUAAAAUAAAGAUGAAAGAAAUAAAUAUUAAUAUAAAGAAUGUCAAAAAAAAGAAGGUAACAAAAUUAUUAAAAAGUAAAAAAAAAGGACGUGCAAAGAGAAUGAAAAAAAAAAGAAAAAAAACAACUAAAAAUGUAAAAAGAAAAUCUGCACAAAUUAAAAAAAAAGCAAAAAAUUCAGCAAAGCAAAAAAAAAAAAACGUGAAAAAUUAGUAUAAAAGAAAUAAGAAAGAGAAACAAAAAAUACAAUAAAGAAAAAGAAAUAAGAAAAAUAAAAACAGAAAUUAAGAAGCAAACAAAAUGUUGAAAGAAUAAAAUAAAUAAUAAUAAUGUAUAAAAACUUGACAUGGUUAUAAAAUAGGAUAGUCUUAAAUAUAUCAAAGAUAAGUCAAAGAAUGACGGUAAAUACUUUUGUUUUAAUAAUAUAAUAUUCAAAAAAUUAGUUUAAGUCAUAAAAGUACACAAAGCAAUCGUGUUAGAACCACGGGACUCGAGGGAUGCCUAAUACCUUCCCCUCGGUCAACAUAAAUCCUUACCCGAAUUUCUGCUUCGCAGACCAAAACUAAAAGAGUCAUUUCCUUUUGGUUAGGAAUUAAAAACAAAAAGGUGACUCAGAACACCAUCAUUCAAUUCCAAGUGGCGACCCUGAAAAAUUAAAAUAAUCCUUUAUUUAAUAACGUCACUUAAAUUGGAAAAAUCCUUACGUCGCCGCGCGAAAAAAGGGGUAUGACACUAGACAUGGUUGUGAUAAGUGUUAUAUUAUAAGAGGAUAUACCAUUUCGAGAGACGUAUCGCGCACCGCGAUGGAUGCUAUAUCUUGAGAAACGUAUGACGUAUCACGAUGCAUAUUAUAUAUCGUGGGUCAUAUCGCACACCAAGACAGAUGCAUGGACAGAUAUGUCCCCCAUGAAUCCCAAAUUGAGUGACAACACGUGUGUAUCAUUAGGUCAGACAUGCAUCACUAUACUUGACAUUGCAUUCAUUGUAUUGCACAUUUUUAUCAAGUAUGAACUUGAUCUUGUGUUUUGCUGAUCUUGCGAGUGGUUUUCUUUAGAGCUUUUUACUGAUGAAUAUUGAGUUGAUGUUGAAAAUAUGUAAUCUUUUAGAGCGUGGUUGUUGAUUUGUGUGCUUUAUAAACUGUAAACGGUUAGUUGGGCUAGUUUUAUGAAGUUUGUAGUGUAGAGGUUUGGAAAUGGUGUAAGAAGUACUCGUAUUAUGUUCCCUUAGCUUGUGUCUAGAUGUUUGCUUGUUGGGUACCAUGUGAUUUGGUACUUACCCCUUGCUUCUACAUAUUAUUGUAGGUUACUAGCCCCGAUCUUCAUAAUCCCUUCUAUUCUCUUUAUUUUCAAGGCUUUCUGUGGAGAUUUUGAGGUAGUUGUUGUCAUUUCAGCAGACCUUCUUACUCUUGUUCAUGAUUUUGUCUUUACUUGAGAGACAAUUUCAUUUGAGACUUCCAUAUAUUAUUUCAAUUCUACUAUUUACAUUAGAGGUUUGUGCAUGUGACAACCAGAUUUUAGGGAUUGAAGUUGACUUGUUUUUUAUACUAGUAAUUGUUAUUGGACUUUUGUUUUACUUUCGCAUUUUAUCAAAAUCAUUAGGUUUAGGCUGACUUGUCUUGGUGGAAUUAGACAAAUUCCAUCACAUUCAUUUUUUGAUUGUGACAAAAUGAUAUCAGAGCCAGGUCCAUAACUCUCACGUGUAUACAAGACGAGUCCAUGUAGAGUCUCAAGGAUCGAUACUGAGACGUGUGUACUUAUCUUUGAUAGGCCAUGAAAACUAUUAGGAAACUUCUAUUGUGUUUAUUAUUCCUCAGAGUGCAUGGUUACUUUCUCUAGUACUGAAAUAUCGUUUAUUAUUAUGACAGAUGGAAAGCACUAGAGCUAAUAUUACAGGUGGUAUAGGAGAGGCACUUCCCGCGGCAGUUGUUGAAGACGCAGGUAGUGGUAAAGGUAAAACCCGAGCUAGCAGUUGUUCUCUUGGAACGACACCAGGUAAAGGUCAUGGCCAUGGAGUAGAACCAGUGAGAGGUCGUGUUAGAGAGGUUUCUCCAGUAUCUCAGAUUGAUGCUAGAGAGGACCAGGUUUCUCCAAAUCCUGAAAUCACACCUUGUUUCAGGAUACAUUGUUGAGGGUUUUAGGUGUGCUUGGGAGCUUUUCUUAGGGUGGUGGUACGACCACCACACCACAUGACUCUCAGACUAGAGAGGGGGCUCAGACCUAAGUGCAACAUGAAGCUAUAGUUAUUCAAGAUGUGGUGUGGUAGCUACCAACGAAUCCCUUGGUUGAGAAUGAUCUUGCACUAGCAGUUGGGGGUCAAGUUGCACCAUUGGUUAUUUUGACAUGAGGAUGGACAACAUAGGUAUAGGAGACUUAGAAAGAUAGACCCGCCCUAGUUUCAAGGUGGUCUGAGUGGGGACGCUCAUGAGUUUUUGACUAUAUGCGGAGAGUUUCUAAAGGUAGUUGGAUUAGCUGAGUCACAUGGGGUUCGAUAUGCUAUACUCCAGCUCCGUGGGGUAGUGAGAGAGUGGUGGAGAACUUAUUCGGGGGAUUUUCCAGUUGGAUAUCCUCCAGUGACUUAAGAUAAGUUUUCCAAUGCCUUUUAUGAUCGUUUUAUCCCUUGGAGCGUGAGGGAGGAGAUCCUCUUGAGGUUUGAGAAUCUCAGAUAGGACGACUUAUCUGUUACAGAGUAUGAGGCCUCUUUUUUCCAGUGGUGUAUGCAUGCUUUGGCCCAUUAUUCUAGAAGAGAAAAAAAUGAUUCGUAGAUUUGUGAGGGGGUUGACUUUGUGUAUCAGAUCAACUGUGUUUAGAGCAUCUAGAGAGAGGACUUCUUUCUAGUCCAUUUUAAGCGCUGCCAAAGAGGCGAAAUUGAUGGAGAGAGAAUUUUGGGGACAUUAAGAAGACUCAUAUAUCAGGUCAGUUUCAUGGAGCCUCAUCUAGAGGUAGGGGGUCUCACAGAGGAAGUAGUUUCUUUCAACAGCGAGGACCCGUUCUUGCUUCUAUGCUGACAUCUGAGGGUUGUCAGAUAUCUCGGGGUUCUUAAUAACAUGAUGCGACCAUGUACUUACUAGAGAGGUCGUGGAGGGCCCCAACUUAAUUCUUCAUUCCAUACUAGACCAUUGGCACAAGGUAGAGGUUGUGGCAGAGUUCAAUUAAGUAGAGGCGGUAGAGUUUCUAGUAGUUGUGUUGCAGCCCAGCAAAUUGGGGGUAAAGGUACCACCCAGGCUGGAGGUGGACAAAGGGGCCACUAUUAUGCUUUCCUAGGGAGACUCGAGGCAGAGACCUUUGAUGAUGUUAUUACAAGUAUAAUUAUAGUAUGCCAUUGUUAUGCCUUUGUAUUGUUUGAUCCAGGGUCUACAUUCUCUUAUGUGUCUACCUAUUUUGCUAUUGAAUUUGAUAUGAUAUGUGAUAGUAUGACAGUAUCUAUUUGUGUUUCCACACCCGUGGGUGAUUUCUUAGUGGUGGAUCGAGUGUAUCGCUCAUGUGUUGUUUCUUUGGCUAGGUAUGACUCUUGGGUAUUUUAAUCAUUUUUGGGAUGGUAGACUUUGAUAUUAUCUUGGGUAUGAAUCGUCUUUCUCCUUAUCAUGAUGUCCUUUAUUGUAGUGCUAAGACUGUGACCUUAGCAAUGCCUGGAGUUCCGAGGGUUAAGUGGAAGGGUGCUAGUGGCUCUUAUCCUAGCAGGGUCAUCUUCUUUAUCUGUGCUCAAAGAUUGGUGGAGAGAGGGUAUUUUUCUUAAGAUUUUAUUCAUGAUGCUAGUGUUGAACCACCUCCCUUAGAUUCUGUUCUCGUGGUUCAGGAGUUUCUCGAUGUAUUCCCUUCUAAUUUUCUAGGUUUUCCUCCCGAUAGAGAUAUUGAUUUGGAGUCGGUCACUAAGCCCAUUUCUAUUCCUCCCUACCAUAUGGCUCUACCAGAGUUGAAAGAGUUGAAGGAUCAAUUAUAAGAUUUAUUGAGUAAGGGGUUCAUUCGCCUUAGUUUGUAACCUUGGGGUGCCCUGUAUUGUUUGUGAAGAAGAAAGAUGGAAUUAUAAGGAUGUGCAUUGAAUACAAAUAGUUGAACAAGGUAACAGUGAAGAAUAAGUAUCCUCUUCCUCGUAUUGAUGACUUAUUUGAUCAACUACAAGGAGCAUCAUUAUUCCCAAAAAUUACUUUGAAUCCAGGUAUCACCAGCGGAAGAUUAGGGCAUUAAAUAUCCCUACAACAACUUUUCGGAGCGGUAUGAACAUUAUAAGCUCCUAGUGAUGCCCUUUGGGUUUACUAAUGCCCCUGCAACAUUCAUAGAGUUGAUGAACGGGGUGUUUCAGCCAUACCUUGAUUCGAUUGUGAUUGUCUUCAUUGACGAUAUUUUCUCUUACUCCAAGACUGAGGAGGAUCAUGUCCAACACUUGAGGAUUGUAUUUCAAAGGUAGAGGGAAGAAAAUUGUAUGCUAAGUUCUCAAAGCGUGAGUUUUGUCUUAAUUUUGUGGCAUUUUUGGGACACUUGGUGUCCAAGGAGGAUAUUAAAGUAGAUUCGGCCAAAAUUGAGGUAUUUAGAGGCUGGACACGACCUACUUCUUCCACUGAGAUUCAGAGUUUAAUGGGAUUGAUAGGCUAUUAUCAACGAUUUGUUCAGAGUUUCUCUACUAUUGCAGCUCCAUUGACCACAUUGACUCGACAGGGUGUGUAUUUCCAAUGGUUGAUGAUUGUGAGAAGAACUUUCAAAAGCUCAAAACUUUGUUGAAUUUGGAUUUUGUGUUGACUCUAUUUGACUAGGGUGUAGACUUUAUGUAUUGUGAUGCUUGAGGAGUCGGUUCGUGUGGUGUAUUGAUGCAGAAUGGAAAAGUGAUUGCUUAUGCUUCUAGGAAGUUGAAGACCCAUGAGAAGAACUACCCUGCUCAUGAUUUAGAGUUGGUGGAUGUGGUAUUUGUACUUAAGUUAUAGCGUCAUUAUUUGUAUGGGGUGCAUUACGAGGUCUUCACUGAUUAUCGGAGUCUUCAGUAUAUCUUUAGUCAAAGGGACCUGAACUUAAGGCAGUGUAGAUGACUUGAGUUGAUAAAGGACUAUGAUGUGACCAUUCUAUAUCAUCCGGGGAAGGUCAAUAUUGUAGCCGAUGCUCUGAGUUGGAAGACUCCUUGCAUGGGUAUUUUUGCAGCACUUAGUAUUGAAGAGAGACCAUUAACUAGAGAUGUUCCGAUGUUAGCUAACAAUUUUGUCCAGUUGCAGAUUUCAUAGGAGAGUGAUGGGAUGAUUGUUUUUAUUAAGGCUCGGUCUUCUUUAGUCAAGCAGAUCCGUGCAUACCGAUUUGAUGAUGAGAAGUUAUGUCUUAUUCGUGAUAAAGUAUUGAGAGGGGAAGCAAAGGAGGUCGUCCAUGAUUUUGAUGGUAUCUUGAGGAUGGGAGGUAGGAUUUGUGUGCCCAAGACGGGUGAGUUUAUUAGAUUGAUUCUUGAGGAGACUCAUUGUUCUCGAUAUUCCAUCUAUCUGGGAGCGGCGAAGAUGUACCAUGAUCUGAGUCAGCAUUAAUGGUGGUGUGGGAUGAAGAGAGAUAUUCCAGACUUUGAUCCUAGGUGUUUGACUCUCCUACAAGUCAAGUGUAAGCACCAGCGUCCCGGGAGCAUAUCUUAGAGGAUGUCUAUUCCUACUUGGAAGUGAGAGUGGAUCAAUAUGGACUUUGUUGUAGGUUUUCCUACCAUAGUGGGUGGUUAUCACUCUAUUUGGGUUGUUGUUGACAAGCCAACCAAGUUUGCCCACUUCAUUCUAGUUCGUAUGAAAUAUACGGAGGAGAAGUUAGUUGAGCUAUAUAUUAGUCAGAUUGUACGAUUACAUGGAAUUUUGGUUUCUAUUAUAUCUGAUCGAGGUUUAUUAUUCAGUUCUUAUUUUAGGAAAUAAUUACAACAUGAUUUGUGUACUCAGUUAGAUAUGAGUACGAUUUUCACCCUCAUACAAAUGGUGAGUCUGAGCGGACGAUUUAGGUUUUGGAGGACAUGCUCCGAGCAUGUGUGAUCAAUUUUGGUGCUAGAUGAGAUUGACAUUUGCCCUUAGCAGAGUUUGCCUACAACAACAGUUACCACUCUAGUAUUUAGAUGACCCCAUUUGAGGGGUUGUAUGGCAGACGUUGUAGAACUCCAAUCAGUUGGUUUGAUUCGGCGGAGAUGGACUCUUUGUAUAUAGACUUGCUUAGAGAUGCUAUGUAAAUGGUCCGUAUGAUUCAGUGUAGACUGUUGACAACUCAGAGUCGACAAAAGAGUUAAGCAUACCAGAGGGUUAGAGUCUUAAAAUUUAUGGAGGGCGGUCAUUUUUGGCUUAGAAUGUCACCUAUGAAGGGUGUGAUGCAGUUCGGAAAGAAGGGCAAACUUAGCCCAAGAUUCAUUAAAAUUUUUGAGAUUUUUAGCCAAGUGGGAGAGAUGGACUAUAAUUUGGUGUUGCCACCUAGUUUGUACGCAGUUCAUCCUGUCUUUUAUGUCUCUAUGCUUUGGAAGUAUAUCUUGGAUGAAUAUCAUAUUCUUUCACUCGAUUCUUUGGAGCUGGGUCCAGACUUGACAUUUGAGGAGGAGUGUAUAACUAUAUUGGAUAGGUAGGUUCGGAAGCUUAGGACCAAGGAUACUGCUUAAGUGAAGGUGUAGUGGAAGCACCAAUCAGUGGGAGAGGAAACUUGAGAGACAUAAUUUGACAUGCGUGCCAAAUAUCCUCAGCUUUUUUAAGCUUCAUGUACUUUCUUUUACUUCAUGUUCUAGGACGAACAUAAUUUUUAGUGGUUGAUAAUAUAAUGACCCAGACCCGAAAAGUCAUUUUUGAUAAUUUUGAUAGUUAUUUAACUAUAGUAAAUUUAAUUGCGGAUAAUUUGUUAUUUUAACAAUAAUGGGCCAAGUCUGAAAUAUUAAAAAUAGGUUAGUAGGGUUUAUUUAGAAAAAAGAAGGAAAAGAAAACAAAAUCAGUGAGAAAAUAUUCCUUGCGCCGUUUGCAUGGAAUCAAUACAUUGAGGUAAGAAUUUUAAAUUUCAUAUAUGUUGUAGAUGAUUGACUAUUUUUUAAUUAACCGAGAGUCAUAUAAUUAUUAUUAUGUUAUUAUAUUGGAGGUAUAAAUUGUACGCGCAAUGUUAAGUGUAUAAUCUGUUUCGAGGUUAACGAAAAAGUAAUUUGUUUGUAGGGUUAUAAGUGAUUGGGUAGUAAUUAGUGAAUAGUUUUAUAUAAUGACUGGAAAUAUGAUAUUGAUUAGCUAUGUUUAUGUAUAUUUGAUUGUUGGAUGGUUAUUAGUAUUAAAUGAAUUCUUGAUGGACAUAAAUAUAAUUGCAAUACAAAAUUGUAACUGAAGUAUAUUUGUUGCAUUGUACACAAUUUAAUCAGGGAACAUUAAUGAUUCUAUGUAAAUAACAUAUUGUUAUAUUGGGUUGUUGGACAUAAUUGGAAGGAAAAAUAUAUGUAGACAUAUGUCUUCUGCAAAAUUGAGAACUUACUAGGAAAGUGAUAUCUACUAAUUAUACGUCAUUGACUAGAUAGGUAUGUAUUGGAGAAUAAAUUUAUAGAAAUAUAAUGGGUACCAAAUUGAAUUCUGGAAAAUUGGUUGGCUUUCGUGGAAUCACGUCCAUAAAAUUGGUUUAGUUCUUUAGAAUCCUUAUAAUUGCUAUCAUAUUACAGUUCAAAUUUCUCUAUAUUAAGAUUAUUGGUGUAUUAUAUCAUAUGCGAAUCAUUAGAGUUGGUAUUGAAAAACUUGAAACUUAACCCUAGGCUUGAAACUUAAGAACUUGAUUUUUGUGAGUGAGUUUUUGGGUCUAGGCUAACCUUAUAGUAGCAUAAGUGUUUUUAAUUUCAGAAUGUUACUGUGUCUAUUUACUUGAAUAUAUUGCAAUGAUUCUGAAGCUCAUCUAAAAGAAAAGACUCAAGCCCCAGAGUGAUUGUUGGGUUAUUCGAGGCAAUUGUAUUUCUAACCCUUGUUAAGUGUGUGGAAUUCAUAUUUUUUCUUGUAAUAUGUGUUUGUGCGUAAUAAAAAUUGGUGAUGGGUUAUCUUGUCCAUGUUGAAUAAUUCUAAUGAUGAAAAGAGGAUACUAAAAAAAAGUAAUGUUACAAAUUUUUGGCAUGUGAUGUUUGAGAAUGAUCUGAGGGCUUAUUGCUUAUUUGUUGACGUUGUAUCACGGUUGCAUUGUUGUGAAUUGUGCCUUGUAUGAAAAUGGUCAUAUCCUCAUUAUUUGUGUGAACAUAUAAUUUCCAUUGAUUCUGAGACAUGGUUGUGAUAAGUGUUAUAUUAUAAAAGGAUGUAUCAUUUUGAGGGAUGUAUUGCGCCGCAAUGGUAACUACAUAUCGCGCGCCACAACGGAUACUAUAUAUCGAGGGUAGUAUUGCACACCGCGACUGAUGGAUCCUAGACUGAGAAACAACGGGUGUGUAUCAUUAGGCCAGACAUGCAUCACUAUACUUGACAUUGCAUUUCAUUGCAUUACACAUUUUUAUCAUUUAUGAACUUGAUCUUGUAUUUUGUUGAUCUUAUAAGUAUUUUUCUGUGAAACUUGUGACUGAUGAAUAUUGAAUUUUUAUUGAGAAUAUGUAAUCUUUUAGAGUAUGGUUGUUGAAAUCUGUGCUUUGUAAAUUGUAAAUUGUUAGUUGAGCUAGUUUUAUACAGGUUGUAGUGUAGAGGUUUGGAUAAGGUGUAAGAAGUACUCGUAUUCUAUUUCCUUAGCUUAUGCUUAGAGGUUUUCUUGUUGUGUACCGUGUUGUUUGGUAGUCACCCCUUGUUUCUACAAAUUUUUGUAGGUUACGGGAGCGGAUCUUUGUGAUCCCUUUUAUUUUCUUCAUUUCUGAGGCUUUCUAUGGAGAUUUUUAGGUAUUUGUUGUCAUAUCAGCAGACCUUCUUACUCCUGUUUAUGAUUUUGUUUUUACUUGAAAGACAAUGUCAUUUGAGAAUUGCUUAUAUUAUUUCAAUUCUAGUACUUAUAUUAGAGGUUUAUGCACGUGACAAUCAAGUUUCGGGGAUUGAAUUAAGUUGACUUAUUCUUCGUAUUAGUAAUAGUUGUUUGACUUCUGUUUUAUUUCCGCAUUUUAUCAAAAUUAUUGGGUUUAGGCUAACUUGUCUUGGUGGGAUAAGACAAGAAUCAUCACAUCUAUUUUUGAAUUGUGACAUAAUAAUAAAGUGAAUCAGAGAGUAUAAAUAGUAACUUUUCAAAAUUGAAGAAUUACUAUUUGCCUCUCUAUAAUUAAAAUAUAGAAAGUGAAAUCGAAAGUGCUUGGAGAUUCCAUUCUCUAUUUUACUCUCUAAAUAUAGAGAAUAGAGGUGGUUUGUAGAUGGUUUAGGGGGGGCAGAGUGAAACAUGCAUGUUACAUUUGACGAAAUGGAGAGGAGAGUAGAGCAGGAGAAAGGUAGGGUGACGUAAAGGAGAAUGGUGGGGGUGGGGAAAAAUUGUUUUUAUAAUAUUUUUUUACACUCAAACACACUUUAUUAUUUUGUAUUUAAUUUUAUUUUCAUGUCAGAUUUUAUGGUAAUAUAAUUUUUUUUGAGUAGUAUAGAUGUAUAAUACGUUGCCCUAAUAAUUGAAGUGUAUAAUUGAUUUUUUGGGACAAUUUUAGAAUUAAAUUUAUGUUAAUUGAUUUCCAUUUUAUUAAAGAAGGUCUUAGAGCCUCAUAUCUUUAGAAAAGCAAAAAUUUAGAAAAUAAUGAUUUGAUAAUGACUUUGAUAGUUGUAUUUAUGAUAAAAAUAAAUUAGAAAAAUGGAAAAAUGCAUAAGUAUCCUCCUAGACUAUGAUCGAAAUUUCAGAGACGCAUUUUUACUAUUCUAAGAUCAUAUUACCUCCUGAAUUUAUUUUUUGUAAUUUUGUGCACCUUUUUGGCUUACAUGACAUCCAAAUAUCUCUCAUGCGCCACAAUUGUGUGGAGUCACAGAGUGUGCCACAUAAGACAAGAGGUGUAUAAAAUUUCAAAACUAAGUUCAGGGGGGUAAUAGGAUCUUAGUUUAGUUAAGGUGUCGUGUCUCUGAUAUUUUUGUUAUAGUCUAGGGGAUACUUGUGAAUUUUUCUAGAAAAUAUGUAAAUAUUUUGUUUUUAAAAAAAGACAAUGAAUGAUUUGAUAAUGACUUUGAUAGUUAUAUUUGUGAAGAAAGGAAGUUAGAAAAAAGUAAAAUAAUUAUUGGACAACACGUGUUUUAUUUAGCUUUAAAAUUGACGUUUCAUCUCAUACAUUGCCAAAAACAUAGUCUCCACAAAAAUAUUAUCCUUUGCGUUCUAAAUUUUAAAAUAUUAUAUAAAUAAAUAAUUUUAGAAUAUUAGAAAAAAAUACACUAAUGUUUAUAUAAGAAUAAAAAAUUCUUUUACAUACUAAAUUUGAGAGGGAGAAACAAAUUUACCAAAAAGGAGAAAGAAACAUUUAGUAACAUAUGGUCCUAUAAUAUGACACGGAGAAGGGCCUAAAAUGUUGUUUAGCUAUUUAAAUGUGUAUAGAAUUAUUUUCCAUCCAUCGAAUUUCAUGUAAAUGUCUUUGACGGUAAUUAUUUUGCUCGAGAUACCCUCGAUAUUAAUUCUUUGGCUCACAUUUAUCUUUAUUUCAAACACCCCACCUAAAGUAAAAUCAUCAAAUAUUUAUUGAUUAACUUAUGUAAUCUGAUUUGUCCAAAUAUAAAGCCUUUUUAAAUAAAUAAUAAAAAGACUUAAGGUAUCUGCGACCACCUAAAGUUGUUCACAUAUUUCAUUUAAACACCUCAACUAGAGAUUGUUCCUAUAAAACACCAACCGUUCAAAACAUGUAACUAUUAAAUAUUUUUUAUGAUAUGACAUUAUAAGUGUAAUACAAUUCUAAGUAAGCACGUGUAGCCAGGAAAUAUUUUUCAGCUGACCAAAAAAACAUGGAUAGAUCAACAUAAGAAAUUCAUAACCUGAACAUAUUUUUUUUUAAAAAAAUCCCAGUUGUCUUCUCCAACUCAUCUUCCCCAAUUUUACUUCUCAAUUCAAAAUCACUUGAAUCUCAUCGACCAAAUUCCUUUGCUACCAUCCCUCAACACGCCCCUUUUCCAUAUAACCCUUCUUUCAUUCUUUCUUUUUAACAUCAUUUCAUUAUCAUCAUUAUAGUCAUCUUCACCGAAAAACAUCAAUGAAAUAAAUAAUCAGUAAAAACACAAAAGAUAAUAUGAAUUUAUUGUUAAAUAUUUUCAUAUGAGUUGUAAAGAGAAUUUCAUCAAAAAUAAAACCAAAUUGAGUUAAAAUCAAUUUCGACGAAUGUUCAUUUUUUCGAUAAAACUAAUAUGAAUCUGAAGUUUUCUUUUUAUAUAAUAAGAAUGAAAAGGAAAAGGUGGAAUAAUAAUGAUUAUCGAGGGUAUGUAAUUUUAGUUGUCGAUCAUUGUGUGUUUUCAGGCAAAAUAGAAAAUGAGAAAGGAUGGAUGUCGGGAGUGGGUGGAGUGGUCUGGCAAAGAAGAAUAAGGACGAAGAAACUUCUUUUGGGGUUGAAAACAUAGUUUUUAAUUUAUUUUAGUUUCUAACUUAUUUUUAAAUUGUUGUUAUAGGAUAAUUCCAUCUUUCCUUUUUUUAAUAGAUACAUUGACACGUUAGCCGCUAGUGUAUAACACAUAACUUCUAUUUUUAGUUGAUUGUGAAAAAUGUUCGAUAGGUAUUUUUUUUUAAUUAAAAAUGUUGUUCAACUGGAACAAGCCUAAGAUAAGGUGUUCAAGUGAAAUAUGCGAAAAACUUUAAGGGGUCGCAAAUAAUUUAAGCUUAAUAAAAAUCACAUAUAAUUCAUAUUUUGCCCCCAUUAGCUUGAUAAUUCAAUUUUUUUUAUUUAUUUCAUGAUAUAUUUUUAUUGGCAUACCAUAAGUCAACUACUCAAAUUAUUAUAACUCAACUCAUAUGUAAAGAUCUAUCUAAAAUCACUUGAAUCUCAUCGACCAUAUUCCUUAGCUACCAUUCCUCAACACGCCCCUUUUCCAUAUAAUCCUUCAUUCAUUCUUUCUUUUUAGCAUUAUUCCAUUAUCAUAAUUAUUGUCAUCUUCACCGAAAAAAAUCAAUGAAAUAAAUAAUCAGUAAAAACCCAAAAUAUCAAAUGAGUUUAUUGUUAAAGAUUUUCGUUUUAGUUGUAAAGAUAAUUUCAACAAAAAUAAAACCAAAUUGAGUUAAAAACAAUUUCAAAGAAUGUUCAUUUUUUCCGAUAAAACUAAUAUGAAUCUGAAGUUGUUUUAUGUGAUAAGAAUAAAAAGGAAAAUGUGGAAUAAUAAUGAUUAUCGAGGGUACGUAAUUUUAGCUGUCGACCACUGUGUGUUUUCAGGAAAAAAAGAAAAUGAGAAAGGAUUGAUGCCGGGAGUGGCUGGAGUGUUCUGGCAAAGAAGAAUAAGGAGGAAGAAACUUCUUUUGGUGGUUGAAACCAUAGUUUUUACUUUAUUUUAAUUUCUAAUUUAUUUUUAAAUUGUUGUUAUGGGAUAAUUCCAUCUGUCCUUUUUUUAAUAGUUAUAGUUGUUGUUCAUCUAGUAUUCCAAACAUACUUAGAACAAAAUUUGAACAUCUUUCUAAGACAACAAAGUUUAAGAACAUUUUCAAAAUAGAAAAUUGAAACUAGUAGCGAAACUAAUAUCAGAGACAGAUUUAAAAAAGUAUACGAAAUAUUUUUCUUAAAGAAGAAUUGUUGUUAAUAUGUGUCUAAAGAAUCUUACUGAUUCCAACAAACAUUGAAGAAACACGAAGUCACCAAGUUUAAUGAACCAGUGAAGAACAAAAGAAUAGAAGAACUGAAAUUAAUUCACAAAUCUAAAAUUUGUAAAACACGUACCAGAAUCUAAAAAAAUUUUAAUAGGAAAAAGAUCAAGUCCACUGAACUCACAGUGUCCCUUUAUGGAAAUUAUUCCCCUCUAGUAUCCGAGGUUUGAUUUUGAAUAUGAUCUCCCAGGGUAAAAUGAUCUCAAUCACCAGAGUAUAGAUACCAAAAAUUCCGGUGUCAGCGAACUACUCAACAUCAAUAAAGUACACUUAGAAUGCUAGAUGUACCAGUUGAAGAAGAAGCCCAUGAAAUCUAUUUUUAAAAUGAGAGGAAAUCCUUCAAUUUAUAGAAAACAAAGGGUGGUGCGAAAAGGUUCUUAUUGUGUCUUACCGGAAAUGUCACAAACCUUUGAAGUCACAAUCUUUCAGAAAGGUCAUCAGCUUUCAUAAAAGUCAGAACUUUCCAUAAAAGUCACAACUUUUCAUAAAAGUCGCAACUUUUCAUAAAAGUCACUACUUUUCAUAAAUGUCGCAACUUUUGAUAAAAGUCACAACUCUUCAUAAAGUCACAACUCUUCAUUUUCCAUUCAUACCUUUUUAAAACCCAACAAUCCCCCGCAUGAAUGGGGAAUGACUCGAAGAUAGAGAAACGAACAAGUAUGUGUACUUUACAAGCAAGAAUUAAUUGAAUCUGGAUAAGUAGGUUUCCCCUUGGACUUUCAGUAGUGAACAUAUGUCGGAUAUACUCUUUCAAUUGGUAGAUGCGAUAUCUUUGAACUGUCGAACUUUGGUGUAUACCUAGACAACCAUAUGUCACACAAUUAACCCUUUACCAUUCAUGGUUCUUACAGUUGUGUUCGUUUUAGCCAUGAACAUCUCCUGGUUUCAUGAUUGUAUAGAGAGAUGGGCUUUUGACAAUCAUCUUCUUUGAAGCGACUUACACUUCACACUCACAUAGGUGAUUCAUAACCGUGUUAUCGCGUAGAUACACUAUUUGGUCAACUCUGCCAAACUUAGCAAAUCAUUAAAACCAUUAAGCUUUAUUAACUUAUUAACAAGACUUAAUGUUGUAUCCUUAUUCCUGAGCAUUGUCUUCAUCAUGAGAAUGGAUUGAGUUUGUUGACAAUGCCAAACCGUCAUUCACAAGUUUGUUUUUCUCCUUGAAUCUAGCUCUUGGGAUCUCCAGUCUGCUAGAUAGAGUUACCGCCAUGAUGACUUGUCCUAAGCCGUAAAUUCAUUCCCUUAGAUGAUCUUUUAACGUCCUCUCUAGUUAGGCCUUUUUGUAAGUGGAUCCGACACAUUAUCCUUUGACUUUAUAUAGUCAAUUAUGAUAAUUCCACUAGAGAGUAGUUUUCUAAUGAUAUCAUGUCUAUGUCGUAUAUGACGAGACUUUCCGUUAUACGUCAUGCUCCAUGCCCUACCUAUUGCAUCUUGACUGUGAAAGUGUAUUCAUACUAAUGCCAAUGGUUUGGGCCAAAAUAGAAUAUCUAUUAAGAAAUUCCGGAGUCUUUCAACUUAUUCACUGACCUUAUCUAGAGCACCUAGCUCAAAGAUCAUUGUAGAGCUAGCGAUACAUGUCUCUUUUGAAAUAUUUCUAAUAGACUGCUCCUCUACCAAUAGUAAAUACAUAUUCACUUGUGAAUUUUACUUCAUUCUUUCGAUGAUUCAAUUUGCGUCACUAUAUCUUUCAAUAUUGUUGGAUAUUGUUAUAAUGCAAGACAUAGUUUUAAGUAUUAUUUUAAAUACUCCAAAACUCUAUUAAUUGUCAUCGAAUGAAUUUAUUUGGGAUCACUUCUGAACCGACUCAGUUUGAAAUAGAAAAUACUAUAUCUGAUCGCACACACUAUAUGAUACACAUCAUGCUUCCUAAAACUCUAGCACAAUCCAAUUGUGAGUCACUUUUGUUUUCACUCUUUUGAAAUGCAAAGCUCACAUUUAUUGGAGACUUGACAAUAUUGACAUCCAAAUAUUUGAACUAGUUAAGUACCUUUUCAAUGCAAUGAGACCGUGAAAAUGCUAAACGUUAUGGAGUUCUACGAAUUCUUACAUCUAAGAUCGCAUUAGCAAAUUCAAUAAUUUUCAUUCCACUUGCUUUAUAGCAUACGUUUAGUAGAAUUUAUGUCAUUGGUGUUUGUAUUGAUAAUCAACAUAUCACCAAUGUACAAACAAACAAUGACCUUAUGAUUUUAAUGUGAACACAUUUAUCACUUUUGUCAUUCUUCAAUCCAUUUGUCGACAUGGUUUGAUCAAAUUAUGUCAUUGCUUGGGUGCUUUCAUAAUGUGACUUAACAAGUUCACACACUUUCUUUUAUUUACAAGGAACCACAAAACCCUUGGGUUGUUCCAUGUAAAUUUCUUCCUCCAAUUCUACAUUUAAGAUAGUUCUUUUCACAUUCAUUUGAUGAAUUUGGAGGUCAUAUACCACACUAAUAAUUUUUGCAUCCGAAUGGAUGUAAUGCUAAUUACUAAUGAGUAUAUAUAUCGAAAAGAUCAAAACCUUGAUUUUAUUUUUGACACAAAGUCUUGAUUUAUAUUUUUCAACAUUUCCAUCAACUGUUAUUUUCGUUCUAAAGAUUCACUUUGAACCCAAAGGUUUAUUUUCUUGAAGAAGAUCAAUUAACUUCCAAUAUUGUUUAUUGACACCAUCUUUCCAAAGGAUGAGUCUACAGAAGACACAAAAAAUGUUCUAAAAUCAUAUUCGAAGGAAGUAAAUGUCCUUUAACAUUUACUAAGCCUCUGAAUCUCUUUAUUAAGUACAUUAUUCUUUUCAUUUUCUAGGCCUUUUAGACCCUUCUCUAGACUACUCAAGUCUAAUUUUACAGUCCACAGUCAUAAGUCCUAUUUUAAUUCUUUUAGGAAUAAGAACUUGGACUUUGACUAGAUACCCCCACACUUUGAAAUAUUUCAAGUUGGAUUUCCUUCCUUUCCAUUUCUCAUAUGGAAAAGAUUGUAUUCUAAUCAAACAAAAUCACUUUCUUUCUAAAAAACCAACUUUUUGUUGUUCUUUUUUGCAGUAAGGAUAGUUCCUCCAUACAAGUUUAAGGAUAGUUCCUCCAUACAAGUUUUGUGUAAACCCGAACUAAUAAAUAAUGCAUCCAUCAUUUCUUUCAACGUUCGGUUUUUCAUUAGAUUGAGGUGAAUAUUGCAGUAGUUUGAUGGAUAUUCCACUUUCCAAACAUAUUUCUGCAAAAUGAGAUUUAUAGUCUCCAUUCUUAUCACUUCUUAUAUUCUUUUCAAUCUGAUUUCCAACUUCGAUAUUACCUUGUCUAGACAUUUCUAUUGCUUCAUCCUUACCAUUCAGCAAAUAGACAUAGUCAUUUAUAAUGCAAUUCUCAAUAAAAGUAACAAAUACUUUUUUCCACCAUGAGAUGGUGUUAACUUCAUAUCACACAUGUCAGUGUGAAUCAAUUCUAAGAGAUUAGAAUUCCUUUCAACAGAUUUAUAAGAAUGCUCAACAUACUUAGAUUCCACAAAAACUUGACAUUUUUAUUUAUUGCACUCAAAGUUAGGCAAAACUUCUAAGUCGAUCAGUUUUCCUUACAAGGUUUUGUAAUUGACAUGCCCCAAGUGUUCAUGUCACAAACAUUGACUCAAGCAAGUAAGAACAAAUAAAAACAUUGAGUUUGAAAAGCUCUUCGCGAGGUAGCUUUUUUCUCACUAAUAUUUUGUUCCUAUUUCUUACAAUUUUGUGUGAUACAAACAUUGUUUAGAUUGUUAAAUGCCCUUUUAAGAAGGACAUUUCCAUAACUUUCAAUAUGAUUGUUUUAGAACUACUCAUGAACAAAGUUUCAUCGGGUUCAAUAAAGACAAUAUAGUCCAAAAGUUAUUUUUACAAAAGCAUAACAAAUGACUAUUCACCAAUAUUCAUGUCUAUGCAAAUACUUUAUAAUAGACAUAUCUUUUCAUGAAAAACCACAACAUUUUAAGUGAUAUUUUUUUUUUAUAAAAGAACAUAAUUAUUUUAAACAAGUAUGUAUAUAAUUUGGAUGUUUCAUACUAGUCGCACUACAUACUUGUAAUAGAGAAACUCAACAACCACAAUACCAAAUAUACUCCAAGAAUUUUGUGGGUAUAACAUAAUACAAAAGUAUUAUUGAAUUUCUUAUCUUUUGAUCCAAAGUUAAUUAGACACCAAGUGUAAUCAUAAGCAAAUAACUCCCACAUAUCAAAUGUGAUCUAAAAAAUAUUUUUCAAGUAUUUGAAAAUAGUUUUUCCACAUAUUAAUGUUGGAAACAUUAUUCUACGAAAGAAUUAUAGUGCUGCAAUUCUUUUUAAAAAUGUUUACACAAUGUCAAAGUUCAUUCCAUAGAGACACAAAAUCACAAAAUCUAAAUCACUGGUAUUUUUUCUCUAUCAUAAAUAGACAUACCACUUAGUAUUUCAAAUACUAAAAAUAAGAACAAAAAAAUGUACAGUUUAUUUAUAUAUUACAUUGAAGUUUAUAGAAAUUCAAAAGUACAACACUGACUUUUUAUGUGAAGUUUUCAUACUCAUCAAACCAAUUGCAUAGUCCAAUUUAUCCAGAGUAUAAAACCACAAAAGUUUUCAGUCUAUAAAAAUCAGACACACUAACAUUUGUCAUGGAGUACAAAACUACAAAAGUUUUUUUUUCCUCCAAACAAAAAAAAGACAUAUUCGUUAUCACAUAGAAAUGUUUUUCUUAUCAAAUAGUCUUCCAACUACAACAUUUUGACAUACUAUUUUAUGAAACAAAAAUAUGCAUCUCUCAUUUUUGCAAACUAAAGAAUUUUAAAAGCAACAAUAUUUGCGAUGUAAAAUUCAUUCCACAACAUAUGGUUUCCCAAUCUUUUUUCAAAGUUACACAUAAUAAAAAAAUCAAAGAUGAUAACUCUUAGAAACUAUGUUCCUCCUUAGAUAAUUUAAUAAGAAGGUUACCUGGUAAUCAUUAAACGGAAUACCAUAAAAAUUUUCUAUUACAUUCUCACUUAAACCUUACUAAACAAAGCAAUGAAUUAUGGAGAAGUAAUGCAUUUAUCUUCUACUUCCAUGAUCAGAUUCUCUCAAUCAAUAGAAUACAAAAAAUACUAACAGUAUAACAAUUUCCUUAAGAUUGUUGUUCAUCUUGUAUUUCUAACAUAUUUAGAACAAAACUUUGAACAUCUUUGUAAGACAACAAUGUUUAAGAACAUUUUCACAACUAGAAAAUUAAAACUAGUAGCGACACUAAAAUCAGAAACAGAUUUAAAAAAGUAUCCGAAAUAUUUUUCUUAAAGAAGAAUUGUUGUUAAUAUGUGUCUAAAAAUCUUACUAAUUCCAACAAACAUUGAAGAAACACGAAGUUACCAAGUUUAAUGAACCAGUUAAGAAAAAAAGAAUAGAAGAACUGAAAUUAAUUCACAAAUCUAAAAUUUGUAAAACACGUACCAGAAUCUGAAAAUAUUUUAAUAGGAAAAAGAUCAAGUCCACUGAACUCACAGUGUCCCUUUAAGGAAAUUAUUCCCCUCUAGUAUCCGAGGUUUGAUUUGGAAUAUGACCUCCCAGGGUAAAAUGAUCUCAAUCACCAGAGUAUUGAUACCAAAAGAUCCGGUGUCAGCGAACCACUCAACGACAGUAAAGUACACUUAGAAUGCUAGAUGUAGUAGUUGAAGAAGAAGCCCAUGAAUUCUAUUUUUUAAAUGAGAGGAAAUCCUUCAAUUUAUAGAAAACAAAGGGUGGUGCAAAAAGGUUUUUAUUGUGCCUUACCGGAAAUGUCACAAACCUUUGGAAAAGUCACAAUCUUUCGGAAAGGUCAUCACCUUUCAUAAAAGUCAGAACUUUCCAUAAAAGACACAACUUUUCAUAAAAGUCGCAAAUUUUCAUAAAAUUCACAACUUUUCAUAAAAGUCGUAACAUUUCAUAAGAGUCACAACUCUUCAUAAAAGUCGCAACUCUUUGUUCUCCAUUCAUACCUUUUUAAAAUCCAACAAUAGUGACACGUGAGCCGCUAGUGUGUAACACAUAACUUCUAUUUUUAGUUGAUUGUAAAAAAUAUUCGAUAUUUAUUUUUUAAUUAAAAAGGGAAUAAGUUCUGAUAUACCCUUCAACUUUGUCAUGUGGAGCUGAAAUACCCCUCGUUAUAAAAGUGGCUCAUAUAUACCCUUACCGUUAUACAAACGGCUCACAUAUACCCCUGCUACAAAAUGGCUCACAUAUACCUUUAAUUUAACGGAAGUUAAAAAAUUAGUUUUAAAUUUAAAUUUAUUACUUCUAAUAUUAUUUAUAAAAUUAUUUAGGGGUAUAUAUAAUUCUUCUAUCAAAGUUCAAGGAAUAUUUUGAUUUUUUUCAUACAUAAAUUAUUUUUUUGACUUCUUUUAUUAAAAUUAUUUGAGUUUCUUAUUCUUAUUUUGUUUUUUUUCUUUCAUUUCUUAGUUUAAAGAAAAAAAAUUAAACUAUUUUUUUGUGUGUAUUGUAAAUUAAUUUCGUGUUUGAAGAAAAAAUUUGGUCAUCUACAAUAAGUUUUACAAGAAUAUUAGUGAAACAUAAAUAAAUUUGAUUAUCAAAAUAAUAAUUAUAAAUUAGUCAUUGAAAUAAAAAAAAGUCAUAAAAAAUAUGUUUGACGAGGAUUAAAUUUACUCAUAUGGGAUUAUAUUUUUUAGAAAAAAAUAAUAAAAAUUUAGAUUAAAUAUAUAUUUUUUUCAUUUUCGUUAGAGGAAAAGGGUACAUGUGAGCCAUAUGUUUACAAGUAGGGUAUAUAUGAGUCACUUUCAUAACAAGGGGUAUAUCAGCUCUAAAUGACAAAAUUGAGGGGUAUAUAAGACCCUUUUCCCUAUUAAAAAUGAUGUUCAACUGGAACAAGCCUAAGAUAAGGUGUUCAAGUGAAAUGUGUGAAAAACUUUAAGGGGUCGCAAAUGACUUAAUCUUAAUAAAAAUCACAUAUAAUUGAUAUUUAUACCCCAUUAGCUUAAAAAUUGUAAAAAAAUUAUUUAUUUCAUGAUAUAUUUUUAUUGGCAUACUAUAAGUCAACUACUCAAUUUAUUAUAACUCAACUCAUACGUAAUGAUCCAUCUAAAAUCACUCGAAUCUCAUCGGCUAAAUUCCUUCGCUAUCAUCCCUCAACACACCCCUUUUCCAUAUAAUCCUUCAUUCGUUCUCUCUUUUUAGCAUCUUUUCAUUAUCAUCAUUAUUGUCAUCUUUACCGAAAAAUAUCAAUGAAAUAAAUAAUCAGUAACACAAAAGAUCAAAUGAAUAUAUUGUUAAAGAUUUUCAUUUAAGUUGUAAAGAGAAUUUCAUCAAAAAUGAAACCAAAUUGAGUUAAAAACAAUUUCGAAGAAUGUUCAUUUUUUCCGUCAAAACUAACAUGAAUUUGUAGUUGUCUUUUUAUAUAAUAAGAAUGAAAAAGAAAAGGUGGAAUAAUAAUGAUUAUCGAGGGUACGUAAUUUUAGUUGUUGACCACUGUGUGUUUUCAGGCAAAAAAAGAAAAUGGAAAAGGAUGGAUGUCGGAAGUGGGUGGAGUGUUCUGGCAAAAAAGAAAAGGGAGGAAGAAACUUCUUUUGGGGUUUGAAAACAUAGUUUUUACUUUAAAAUAAUUUCUAAAUUAUUUUUAAAUUGUUGUUAUGGGAUAAUUCCAUCUGUCCUUUUUUGAAUAGUUACAGUGACACGUUAGUCGCUAGUGUAUAACACAUAACUUCUAUUUUUAGUUGAUUGUAAAAAUGUUCGAUAGGUAUUUUUUUUAAUUAAAAAUGAUGUUCAACUGGAACAAGCCUACGAUAAGGUGUUCAAGUGAAAUAUGCGAAAAAUUUUAAGGGGUCGCAAAUAACUUAAGCUUAAUAAAAAUCACAUAUAAUUCAUUAGCUUGAAAAUUCAAAAAAAAAUUAUUUAUUUCAUGAUUUAUUUUUAUUGGCAUACUAUAAGUCAACUACUCAAUUUAUCAUAACUCAACUCAUACGUAAAGAUCCAUCUAAAAUCAUUUGAAUCUCAUCGACCAAAUUCCUUUACUGCCAUCCCUCAAACAUGCCCCUUUUCCAUAUAAUCCUUCAUUCAUUCUUUCUUUUUAGCAUCAUUCCAUUAUCAUAAUUAUUGUUAUCUUCGCCGAAAAACAUCAAUGAAAUAAAUAAUCAGUAAAAACACAAAAGAUCAAAUGAGUUUAUUGUUAAAGAUUUUCAUUAUAGUUGUAACAAGAAUUUCAUCAAAAACAAAAUCAAAUUGAGUUAAAAACAAUUUCGACGAAUGUUCAUUUCUCCAACAGAACAAAUAUGAAUCUGAAGUUGUCUUUUUAUAUAACAAGAAUGAAAAUAAGAAGGUGGAAUAAUAAUGAUUAUCGAACUGUGUCUUUUCAGGCAAAAAAGAAAAUGGGAAAGGAUAUAUGUCGGGUGUGGGUGGAGUGUUUUGACAAAGAAGAAAAAGGAGAAAGAAACUUCUUUUGGGGGUUGAAAACAUAAUUUUUACUUUAUGUUAAUUUCUAACUUAUUUUUAAAUUGUUGUUGUGGGAUAAUUCCAUCUGUCCUUUUUUCAAGAGUUACGGUGACACGUUAGCUGCUAGUGUAUAACACAUAAUUUCUUUUUAUAGUCGAUUGUAAAAAAUAUUUGAUAGGUAUUUUUUUAGUAAAUAUGAUGUUCAAGUGGACAAGCCUAAGAUAAGCUGUUCAGGUGAAAUAUGCGAAAAACUAUUAGGGGUCGCAAAUAACUUAAGCUUAAUAAACAUCACAUAUAAUUCAUAUUUUGACCCCUUUAGCUUGAAAAUUCAAAAAAAAAAAUAUUUAUUUCAUGAUAUAUUUUUAUUGGCAUACUAUAAGUCAACUACUCAAUUUAUUAAAACUCAACUCAUACGUAAAGAUUCAUCUAAAAUCACUUGAAUCUCAUUCACCAAAUUCCUUUGCUACAAUCCUUCAACACGCACCUUUUCCAUAUAAUCCUUCCUUCAUUCUUUCUUUUUAGGAUCAUUCCAUUAUCAUCAUUAUUGUCACCUUCACCGAAAAAAUCAAUGAAAUAAAUAAUCAGUAUAAACACAAAAGAUCAUUUGAGUUGUAUUGUUAAAGAUUUUCAUUUGAGUUGUAAAGAGAAUAUCAUCAAAAAUAAAUUCAAAUUGAGUUAAAAACAAUUUCGACGAAUGUUCAUUUUUCCGACAAAACUAAUAUGAAUCUGAAGUUGUCUUUUUAUAUAAUAAGAAUGAAAAGGAAUAGGUGGAAUAAUAAUGAUUAUCGAGGGUACGGAAUUUUAGUUGUCGAUCACUAUGUGUUUUAAGACAAAAAAGAAAAUGGGAAAGGAUGGAUGUCGGGUGUGGGUGGAGUGUUCUGGCAAAGAAGAAAAAGGAGGAAGAAACUUCUUAUGGGGGUUGAAAACAUAAUUUUUACUUUAUUUUAAUUUCUAACUUAUUUUUAAAUUGUUGUUAUAGGAUAAUUCCAUCUGUCCUUUUUUUAAUUGUUACAGUGAUACGUUAGCCGCUAGUGUAUAACACAUAAUUUGUAUUUUUAGUUGAUUGUAAAAAAUGUUCGAUAGGUAUUUUUUAUUAAAAAUGUUGUUCAACUGGAACAAGCCUAAGAUAAGGUAUUCAAGUGAAAUAUAUGAAAAACUUUAAGGGGUCGCAAAGGACUUAAGCGUAAUAAAAAUCACAUAUAAUUCAUAUUUUGAUCCCAUUAGCUUGAAAAUUUCUAAAAAAAAAUUAUCUAUUUCAUGAUAUAUAUUUAUUGGCAUACUAUAAGUCAUCUAUUCAAUUUAUUAUAACUCAACUCAUACGUAAAGAUCCAUCUAAAAUCACUAGAAUCUUAUCGAACAAAUUCUUUUGCUACCAUCCCUCAACAUGCCCUUUUCUAUAUAAUACUUCAUUCAUUCUUUCUUUUUAGCAUCAUUCCAUUAUCACCAUUAUUGUCAUCUUCACCGAAAAACAUCAAUGGAAUAAAUAAUCAGUGAAAAUACUUAAGGUCAAAUUAGAUUAUUGUUAAAGAUUUUCAUUUGAGUUGUAAAGAGAAUUUUAUCAAAAAUAAAACCAAAUUGAGUUAAAAAUAAUUUCGAAGAAUCUUUAUUUUUUCCGACAAAACUAAUGUGAAUAUAAAGUUGUGUUUUUAUGCAAUAAGAAUGAUAAGGAAAAGGUGGAAUAAUAAUGAUUAUCGAGGGUACAUAAUUUAAGCUGUCGGUCACUGUGUGUUUUCAGAAAAAAAAGAAAAUGGGAAAGGAUGGGUGUUGGGAGUGGGUGGAGUGUUCUGACAAAGAAGAAAAAGGAGGAAGAAACAUCUUUUGGGGGGUUAAAAACAUAUGUUUUACUUUAUUUUAGUUUCUACUUAUUUUUAAGUUGUUGUUAUGGGAUAAUUCCAUCUAUCCUUUUUUUAAUAGUUACAGUGACACGUUAGCCGCUAGUGUAUAACACAUAACUUCUAUUUUUAGUUGAUUGUAAAAAAUGUUCGAUAGGUAAUUUUUUUAAAAUUAAAAAUGAUGUUUAACUAGAACAAGCCUACGAUAAGGUGUUCAAGUGAAAUAUGUGAAAAACUUUAAGGGGUCGCAAAUGACUUAAGCUUGAUAAAAAUCACAUAUAAUUCAUAUUUUGACUCCACUAUCUUGAAGAUUCAAAAAAAAUUAUUUAUUUCAUGAUAUAUUUUUAUUGGUAUACUAUAAGGCAACUACUCAAUUUAUUAUAACUCAACUAAUACGUAAAGAUCCAUCUAAAAUCACUUGAAUCUCAUCGACAAAAUUCCUUUUCUACCAUCUGUCAUGAUCCAAAAAUGGAUGUGAUGACACUCUUCUUAUCCCACCAAGACAAGUCAGCCUAAAAUUCAGCCGUUAGAAUAAAAUGCGGAAAUUUCAUAAUCAAUUCAAAACACUCCCAAAAUCUGGUUGUCACGUGUACAAGCCUCUAAAGUAUUACAAUUGAUUCAAAAGAAAUACUAGUCUCAAAUAAACUUGUUUCUAGAAUAGAACAAGGUCAUAACUAAGGAGAAAGAAAGUAUGCUGAGUCGACAAACAGCUGCCUCUCAAAUCUCCAAGGAACCUCAGACAAGCAGAAGAGAAAUAUCACAGAGUCCGGGCUACUAACCUACAAAAAAUUGUAGAAGCAAGGGGUGAAACCAAAACCACACGGUACUCAGCAAGUAAAUCCCUAAACACAAGCUCAGGGGAUGAAAUACGGGUACUCCUACCACCCCUAACCGAACCUCCACAAAUACAACCUGCAUAAACAUCAGCCCAACCUAAGAGCUCACAGUUUACAUAGCACGUAACUCAAAAAACAACACUUAGAAUAAUUACAUAUCCUCCACAACAACACUUUAACAAAUUAUAUAUCCGCAAUAACAAGCUCAAUAUUGAUCAAUCACAAGUUCCGCAGAAAGGCAAUCAGAAGAUUAUUAAAACACGAUAUCAAAUUCACUAGUGAUAAGUAUGUGCAAUGCAAUGCAAUGAAAUGCAAUGGCAAGUAUAAUGAUGCAUGUCUGACCUAGUGAUACACACCCGCUGUCUCUCAGUCCGGGACCCAUGAGGGACAUAUCCGUCCAUGCAUCAGUCGCGGCGCACGACACGACCCUCGAUAUUAGUAACCAUCGCGGCACGCGAUACGUCCCUCAAAAUAUAGUAUCCAUCGCGGCGCGUGAUACGUCCCUCGAAAUGAUACAUCCUCUUAAGUACCCAUUCUUUCUCAAUGCACAUAACACUUGUCACAACCAAUGCCUCAGAAUAAUACAGAUGACAAGUUCACACAAAUAAUGAGGAGAUGACCAUUUUCAUAACAUUGCACAAUUCACAACCAUACAAACAUGAAGUUACAUCAACAAUUUUUCAACAAGCCUUCAACCCUUUCUCAACACAACACACAUAAACAAUUAAUCACAUUGCCUUUUGUUAUUCCCAUUUUUUUCAUCAUUAGAAUUAAUCAAUAUGGACAAGUCAACCCAUCACCAAUUCCGUUACUCCCAAACAUCUACCACAAGGAAAUACACACAUUUCAUACACUUAACCAGAAUUUAGAAAUUCACUUGCCUCAAGUAGUCGAACAAUGACUCCAGAAUUCAAGCCUUCACUUUUCGUUGAGCUUCCAAGCCAAUGCAAUCUAUCCAAAUAUUUAAUCAGGAUAAGAUUUUGAAACCGACAACACCCAUAUUACUAUUGGUUUAGUCUAUAUUUAAAAACUUACACAAAUCAAAAAUCAAUUUCCUAAAUUUUGAUGUCAAUUAACAUGUCAACUCUCAUAUUUUUUUAAGAAUUUUAAAUCUAGGAUCAAGUUCAAAUUUCUCAAAGUAUCAUCAAUUCAACAAAAUAAAAAGAAGAAUUUCAAGAAAAUUAAUAACUUUCAAAUAAUCUAUCGUUGCAGCAACAAGAGGAAUCCAAUUUAAUUCAUGUUUUUGCUUUCAAACCUAUAUGCCAUAAUGGUAAUCAUUAUCCAAUAAUGACAAUUGAUAUAACCAAUCACUGACAGCAACUUGCUGCCCCAAUCUUUUGCCAUAACUUCCAUCCUAUAAUUUCCACUUAAAUCAUCCAACAAUAUAUAAUUGCUAGUAAAAAAAAAUCUAGUUCAAAAUUUCAAUUCACUUUAACCAUUAACUUAACAAUCAAUUGGUAAUGACUACAUAAUGAUUAUUCCAUAAACAAAAUAAUCAAAGCCUACCCACUGUAGUUAUAUAUAUGAUCAACACGCAUAUAAAUUCCAAUCCAAAAUUUGCUUAUUCACCUUUCUCAAUCUACAAAUGAUUAUAAUAAUAAUUAUUAUUAUUUAAUGCAUUUUGACCUCUAAGAAUAGCAUAUUCACAAAUACACAAAUUAAUGCAGGAUUCGAACUUACCUCGAUGAAAGAUUAAGCGGUUCCCAUGACGACCAUCGUUUCCCAGGUAAUUUCUUUUCCUUUCUUUUCUUUUGUACUCCUUUUUGUUUCACUAUCUUAUAUUAUAAUAUUAUUAAUAAUAACAUAACCUAUAACUAUAUACUUUAAUAGAUCAACUGAAAUAUUACUUGAUGCGCAGAAGUCAAUUCCCAUGCCGGCGGCCGGUUUGCACAGGUUAGUGUUUCUUCUUCCCUUUCUUUUUUUUUUCUAAAAUAAAUAUGUACUAAAAGUGAUAAAUUUUACUCACUUAUUUUAAUAUAUGAUGGAAAAUAGGUAUAGGAUCUUAAAUAAAUGAUACUUUAGUCCAUUAAAUAUCAAUUAAGUCAAUUAUCUACAAUUACCAUCAAAUAAUUAACUAAAGUCAAUGAAUAGUUCAAAAUUAUCAAAAAUAACUUUCGGGGUCAUUACACCAUCCCUCAACACGCUUCUUUUCCAUAUAUUUCUUCAUUCGUUCUUUCUUUUUAGCAUCAUUCUAUUAUCAUCAUUAUUGUCAUCUUCACCGAGAAAACAUCAAUGAAAUAAAUAAUCGUUAAAAACACAAAAGAUCAAAUAAGUUUAGUGUUAAACAUUUUCAUUUGAGUUGUAAAGAGAAUUUCAUCAAAAAUAAAAUCAAAUUGAGUUAAAAACAAUUUCGACGAAUGUUCAUUUUUCCGACGAAUCUAAUAUGAACCUGAAGUUGUCUUUUAAUAUAAUAAGGAUGAAAAGGAAAAGGUGGAAUAAUUAUGAUUAUCGAGGUUACGUAAUUUUAGCUGUCGACCACUGUGUGUUUUCAGGAAAAAAAGAAAAUCGAAAAGGAUGGAUGUCGGGAGUGGGUGGAGUGUUCUGGCAAGGUAGAAACUUUUUUGGGGGGUUGAGAACAUAGUUUUUACUUUAUUUUAAUUUCUAACUUAUUUUUAAAUUGUUGUUAUGGGAUAAUUCCAUCUGUUCUUUUUUUUAAUAGUUAUAGUGACAUGUUAGCCGCUAUUGUAUAACACAUAACUUCUAUUUUUAGUUGAUUGUAAAAAAUGUUCGAUGCAUUUUUUUAAAAUUAAAAAUGAUGUUCAUUUGGAACAAGCCUAAGAUAUGGUGUUCAAGUGAAAUAUGCGAAAAAACUUUAAGGGGUCGCAAAUGACUUAAUCUUAAUGAAAAUCACAUAUAAUUGAUAUUUUGACCCCAUUAGCUUGAAAAUUCAAAAAAAAAAAAAUAUUUAUUUCAUAAUAUAUUUUUAUUGGCAUACUAUAAGUCAACUACUCAAUUUAUUAUAACUCAACUCAUACAUAAAGAUCCAUCUAAAAUCCGCAUGUGCAUGUCUAUUAUUCUUUUAUUUUAUAUUAUUAUCACGGGGUGCGGUAGGGUUGAGAAGCAAAGUAAAUAUAAUUUUUAUUCGCUUAUUUUAAAUUUUGGAUGUAGAAUAAGAAAAAUGUAAUUAAAUUAUCUUUUAUAUAUUGAACUAAUUAUUCUGUAUGAGUGUCCUUGUCAAUUUUUUCAGUUUUCUCCCUUUUUUUUUGUCAUAAGUUUAAGAAAAUUAAAAUUUAAAAUGGUGGAAAAGAUUCAAGAAGAAGAAAAUGGAAGAGAGAGAUUGAUAUUCUCAUUCUUUUUAAAAUAAUAGAAAAGCAUAUUUGUUUUUCAUUUAGGGAAAAAUCAUUUCCGUACUAAAUUUGAGUGCAUCAUUUGCGUACUAAAUUUGAAUGUAAAAUAAAGGGUGAUACAAUUACAAAACAAAUAAGUUCAAGAAUAAUAAAACCUUAAUUUAAUAUAUUUUCAAAAUUUCGAUCAUUAUAUAACAGGUACUUAUUGAUCUUUUACCUUAAAUUGGUAAACAACUCCUAGUAGUAUAGGCUCAUCUUCAACCUUUAGAUUGAAAAUUACUAAGAAAUUACUAAAAGACAAAUCGAAGCUUUAAUUGAUACUACAAACCUAUAUUUGGAAAAGCUAUUCCCAUAAAUGCUUUAUUAAUAUAGUAUGGAGUUAAAAAUAAUUAUUUUUGUAUAUUCUUGCAUUAUACUAUGUUCUGUAUUCUAUUUUUAAAUUAAAAAUUUUCAUCUUAUCAUAAGAAGUUUGUGCAUUUUUCAUAGUGAAUAAUAAUAUUAAUGAUUUCAAAUUAUAUCACUUAAAUCGAUGAAAAACUAAAAAAAGUUAAAAUAUUAUUAAUUCAAAAUGAAAGUGGUAUAUAUUAAAUAUUUUAUUUUUAAAAAUUUUUUAUAUUAUAUUAAAAAAGAAUUACGAAUAUUAGAGAUUUAUUUAAUGGUCUUAUAUGAUUUAUAAUAUGCUAAUUACAAAAAUUACAUAAUAAAAAUAAUAAUAAAAUAAUCAAAUAGUGAAACAGUGGGUACAAAUAGUAAUUUUUCGAAAUUGGAGAACUAUAAUUCAUCUCUCUAUAAAAUAUAAAUAGUAUAGAAAAUGAAAUAGAAAGUGCUUGGAGAGCCUAUUAUCUAUUUCACUUUCUAAAUAUAGAGAAUAGUGAUGUCUUGUAGAUGGUCUAGGGGAAAAAAAGUGAAACUUGCAUGUUAUAUUUGACGAAAUAGAGAGGAGAGGAAAGGCAGAGCGGCGUGAAGGAGAAUGGUGGGGGUUGAGAAAAUUAAAUUUUUUACGCUUAGACACACUUUAUUUAUUAUGUAUUUAACUUUAUUUCCAAGUCAAUUUUUAUGGUGAUAUUAAUUUACUUUUGAGUUAGAUAUGUAAUACGCCACCCUAAUAAUUUAAGUGUAACUAAUUUUCCAACACAACUUUACUGAAUUUAUGUCAUUUAGUUUCCAUUUUAUUAAAGGCCUUAGAGCCUCACAUAUUUUUAAAAAUGAAAAUAAUGUGAUAAAACUUUCUAUUGUGAAAUCCUACUCAGUACUCCUUCACUCUCUUGUUCAUUAUGUAGUUUUCAGUAUAAGUUUCUAGUAUUCUUCCUUUUUUUUUUAAUUUUAUUUUAUGGACUUUGUCCAUUAAUGAAUCUAUUGUUACUAUUCAUUUCUUUCGCUUAGCUUUUGUUCCUAAUUGCAGUCUUUUUUAACCACACCCUGGAUAUGGUCAUUAAUAGUUCUUCCUUAAGAACAUUCCCCAUGACCUAUCAGAUUCCGAAUUUACAGGUUAAUUCAUCGAUUCUUUUUAAGGGUUAAGAGACUAACCAUAUACUAAGUAACAUAGAUUCAUAUUAAAGAAAAUAUAUUAAACAGUUUUUACAUAAAAUAAACAAGCAUAAUUUACAUAUCUGGUAAGUUACUAGAUCUAAAAGAUGAAAAAUUACAUAAUUAACGGAGUGAAAUUUCUCUUUCAGGAAACCCGAUAACUUACAGAAAAAUAAAUUCUGCAAACUUAGUACAAACUUUAUAUUACAGAGGGUUUUUUUAUGCUAGGGACUUUUGGAAAGGGAUUUUUGACAUUUUUUUUAUGCUAGGGAUUUUUUCUUCUUUUUGUUGUUGUUCUUCUCUUGAUAAUGCUUGCUUUUAUAGAGGUCUUCGGACUUCAAACAUCGCAUUUCAAAUGGAAAAAGAAUCUUAUCAUCUCAGUCGGGUACAUUUUUGGGCCCCAUCUGUAACGACCUGUUUAGUCGUUUUGAGCAGCAGAUUUUAUUUCUGGAAAAACAGGCUGAGACGAUGGAACCCACGACGGACCGUCAUGAGCACGACGGACCGUCGAGGGGUCUCGUUUCAAAACACUUAGAAAUUCGGAAAUUGGGUACCAAAAAUCGACUCUCUGAACUUCGUAACGGGAUGGCAGGACGGACCGUCACGGGCGUGACGGACCGUCACAGACUCUUUGGUGAAAAUUGAGUCUCUGAACCUUGCGACGACCUGAAGGACGGACCGUCGCAGGUACGACGGGCCGUCACAGGUACGACGGGCCGUCACAGGUUGUGUAAUCCCAGUCUGGGUCGGAUUUCUUUACACGUUUUAAGGGACGUUUUGGACUAUUCCUACUUUAAUUAUAAAGUUAGUGGGUUUAUGUUAAUAAGUCUAAUUACUUGGGGGUUAAAAGAGGUAACCUUGAGUAAAUUAGUGGGUUAUUAUUGCCAUCUUUUAUUCUUAAUUAUAUGCUAAUUAGGGUAAAAGAAAGAGGGUUUGAAUAAGAAAAAGAAAAGAACAGAAAGAGAGAGAAGGAGAAUCGAUAGAGAGAGACGAACGAUGAGGAAAAACACAAGGCUUUGGGAAAUUCUUGCUUGAUCACUAGUCUUCGGUGGAGGUAGGUUAUGGUUUCUCUUACGAUAUUCGUAGUAAACUCUUAAUAGCGAAUGAUAUGUAUUGAUAAUAUUGUAAACCCUGCUAUGUGCUUAAUUGUAUGCUUGCAUGAAUGUAAUUAUAUAAUUAUGAUUAUAUAAGCAUGAUGAAGUUAUUGAAUCCCAAAUCUUGCAAAACCCUAAUCUCUUUGUUAAUGAUGAGGCCUUGGUAUAAAAGAAGGCGUGAUGAACUAAAAUAAUGAGAUUGAUGAUGCCUUGGUAAGAAAGAAGGCUUGAUGAAUUGAUAGAAGGAGAUUAGGGGAUCGGGUGCCACGUUCCGGUACCAGGAUAGUAUAUGAGGAUCGGAGUGUCACGUUCCGACACCAGGAUAGAAUAUGGAUCGGGUGCCACGUUCCGGUACCAGGAUAGUAUAUGAGGAUCGGAGUGUCACGUUCCGACACCAGGAUAGAAUAUGGAUCGGGUGCCACGUUCCGGUACCAGGAUAGUAUAUGAGGAUCGGAGUGUAACGUUCCGACACCAGGAUAGAAUAUGGAUCGGGUGCCACGUUUCGGUACCAGGAUAGUAUAUGAGUAUCAGAGUGUCACGUUCCGACACCAGGAUAGAAUAUGGAUCGGGUGCCACGUUCCGGUACCAGGAUAGUAUAUGAGGAUCGGAGUGUCACGUUCCGACACCAGGAUAGAAUAUGGAUCGGGUGCCACGUUCCGGUACCAGGAUAGUAUAUGAGAAUUGGAGUGUCACGUUCCGACACCAGGAUAGUAUAUGAGGAGCGGAGUGUCACGUACCGACACGAGAGGAAUAAAGAUAAUGAAUCUUGAAAGAUGUUAAUAUACUCAAUCUAAUGAACCUAAAUCCCAAAUGAGUAUGAUGAGGAGGCGUGAGUCCUCAUUGAUGAGCUUGGUGUUGUAACCAAGGGUUAUGGUAAUUGUAAAUGCUACAUGUUGAGUAUCAUAGUUGAUUUUAUGAUAUUACUUGGUAUAUACUGUUUUCUAUUUUGAGUUGGCCGAUGAUACCUACUCAGUACUUGUGCUUGUACUGACCCCCUACUUUUAUGUUUUCUUCUUUGUUAUUUGUGGAGUGCAGCAAACGUGCCGUCAUCUUCAACUCAACCGCAACUCUAGUCAGUCUUCAUUACUCCGGAUAUCAGGGUGAGCUAAUGCUUCUAGCUUGGACUGGAUCUUCCUCUUCAUGUCUUGAUGUCUUGAACUUCCGGCAUGGACUAGCUCUUAUGUAUUUUAGCUUCUUAGAUACUCUUAGAUUUAGUAAUUUGAAGUAGAUGUUCUUGUGAUGAUGACUUCCAGAUUUUGGGAAAUAAUAGUUAUUGAAUUGGUUUUUAUUAAUGAGUUUAAGUCUUUCGCAUUACUUUAUGUUGAUAGUACAUUGAAAUGUUAAGGUUUAGAUUUGGUUGGUUCGCUCGCACAGGAGGGUAAGUGUGGGUGCCAGUCGCGGCCCGAUUUGGGUCGUGACACCAUCGUCAUGUGAAAUGAUGAUCCUUUUCUUGCAUUAUUGUCCUUGUGGUCUGGUAUCUGUCUUAUCCUUUUAAGUAUGUCCCAACAGUUUUUCCACAGAUGUGUGGUAGUGAGUAAAGUGGGACUCACAGAUUGUCUAAAGAGGCACCCCUCUUGAUUGUAUAAUUUUAUUAUUAUUUAUAUAUAUACACAUAUAUAUAUUUAUUUAUUUUAUGUGUCUAAAUUAUGCAAUGCUAUAGAAUCAAAACUCAUCCCACAGUCGUCAUCAUUAGGAUCUUGGGCAAAUUGCAUUGUUUCUAAGUUUUCUUCUGUGUUUUCUUGACUACUUUUAUGGUUUGGAAUUGAGAUUGGAUAUUUAAUCAUGUAUUUGUCUUGUUUUCGUUUUUGUUUGAGUAGUUUUUCUACUGUUUUGGUAAUGAGAAAUUCUAUGUCCUUAGUUUUCUGGGCCUUUUUAGUUUUCUGUUUCAGGUUUUGGGUAAAAGAUAGUGGUAAUCUUCGUUCUGAGAAGAAGAUGAACUUUCUUCAUUUUCACUUUUUGGGAAAGUGACAGCCAUAAACGAAUUUGAUAAGUCUUUACCGGCUACCGUUUGAACCGGACUAGCUGUAUCUUCAUCCGAUACAGUGGAUUUAUUAAUAUUCAGUGGGGAAUGAACACCCAUAUCAUCCAUUUUUAUUAGAGAUGGAAAGCCCUGUCUAUCUGUCUGAGUUUGUACAUCUUGUUUAGUCUGACCUUUGAUUUCCAUUCUUCGAAGUUUUUCCCUGAGCUUGGUAUUUUCUUGCGUUAGAGCUUCAUUUCUUAGAUUUAGCCUUUAAAUGCUUCGAUCAUGGAUGAGCAAUGAUCACAAAAUAUUACUUUAUCUAUAUCCUUUUGUAUGUUGUAUUAUGGAGUUUUAUUUGGGUUUUGUCUAAGGGCUGGAGAAAUAUAGUAAUUUGGUCCUAAUAUCCCUCUACCAUAGUCUAAAGCUUCUGUAAAAUCAUUAAAGCCUUUAAAAAGAGGUUUUUGAAAACCUUUAAUAGAGUCUAAAACUUCUAUCCAUGUCUGAAAAACACCAUUUGUUUUACCAUGAAUUACCACAUAAUAUUUAAAUCUAUUUUAUUUAUUUUUGUUAGUAAAAUAAUAUCCUAAAGCAUUUAAAAUGGCAAUUACGUAUUUAGUGUCUUUUUUAUUGUGUGCUAUCCAUAUAUUAUCUAUAAGGAAUGUUUGCUGUUUGUCUAGUUGGCAGUUAGACAAAUGUCUGAAUGUCCAAUUAGACGGUUCGUAUGCUAUUAAGUUUUAUUGUCCAAACUACAGUCUUUCUAUUCUUGCAUCAUCAAUUUUGUCUAGAGGUCUAAAAUGUAAAUUUGAUAACAUUGUCUAUUUGUAAGAGUCUGCAAAGUCUGGGGUUGAAGGUUGAACUCUUUUACCCUUGUCUGGUAGUAAUGUUCUCAUUCUGUAAAAUUUAAACUUUUAUUAGCAAUCUACUUAAUUGAUCGGCAAUAUGAUUAUCAUUUCCUUUUAUAUGCUCAAAUAUUAUAUAUUGAUAAAUAGAUAUAGUAUCUAAAAAAUUUAACCAUCGUCUUCUACUACUCUUAUCAUUAAUUUUCUGAUGAAAUUUUACUAUAGCUUCACAAUCUGUCCUUACUAAUAUUUCUGAUUUGUUUAAAAUGUAUAUUCUAAAACUGGCCAUAUAUUACAGCUAGGAAUUCAAUGUCUAUACUAGCUUUAUUUCCUUUUUCUUUAUAUUUUUUUCACUUUGGUAGGCACAUAUUUUUUCUUCUUAGUUAGGGCUAUAUUUAUGAGGUGUAGCUUUUAAUAAUGCUCCCCAUCCUUCUAAACUACCAUCUGUUUCGAUAAUUAAAUAAUUUGAUUCCAAAGGUAUAUUAAGAUCCAGAAUGUUUCUUAUUUUAUCCUUUAUUUUUUGUACUAAUUUUAUAUCUUCUAUAUUAAAAUUUAUUUGUCCUUUGCUUCCUGUCUUAGAAUAUAAUGGUCCUGCAAGUUUUUCUAAAUCUUUAAUAAAUGGUCUGGCAUAGUUUAUCAUUCCGAAAAAAAUUUGUAAGUCUUUUAAACUAUUUAAUCUAUGUGGCAUAUCUAAGGCUUUUUUGGCUAUAUGAGGUUGUAGUUUAAUUUUUCCAUCUCCUAAUAUAAUUCCUAAAAAAUUUAUGUAAUUUUUUCAUAAUUCCAUUUUCUUUUUACUAAUUAUUAUCCCAUUAUUGAAAAAUAACCUAAAUACCGUUUGUAAAUGUCCUAAAUGUUCUUUUAUAUCCUACUGAAUACUAAUAUAUCAUCUACGUAUACUAAGACAAACCUUUUGUAUUCUCCAAAUAUUUUAUCCAUUUUUCUUCGGAAAAUUGGAGGCGCAGUUUUUAAACCAAAUGACAUGACUAACUAUUCAAAAUGUCCUUCUGGACAUGUAAAGGCUGUCCAUUCAAUACUAUCCGGAUGCAUUUUUAUCUGUCAAUAUCCUAAUUUACAAUCAAACUUACUAAAAAUUCUUUUUCCUUGUAUUCUAUUAUUAGUUCUAUUUUAUCUGGUAAUUUAUAUCCGUCUGUUUUAAUGUUAGCGUUUAGUCUUUUAUAAUUUAUUACCAUUCUAGCUUUUCCUCUUACUAUUUCAUUAUGAUUUUUUACAAUAAAUGUUGCCGAUCUUUGUUUUGAGGUUGAUCUUUUUAUUACUCCUAACUCUAAUAGUUCUUUAAUUUGUAUACUAAAAUCUUCCGGAUCUUGAUUAGUUGCUUCUAUCGCAACAGUUUUUAUUAUAUAUUCGGGGUUUAUAAUGUCUAGUUUACAUACAAUUUUGUUAUUUUCCCAAUGUUUUAAGGUUUUUUCGCCUAUUAUUUCUAUUUGAUCUAGGAUUUUUAUAAUAUUAUCUAAGUCUUGUUGAUUUUUUAUUUGUCCUAUUUUCUGUAUUCCUGUUUUGAAAUUGUAUUUUUCUGUUGCUAUUUCUAUUAAGACAUAAUAUUUGUUUAAAUUAUCCAAAUCUUCUAACUCUUCUAUUUCUGAUAAAUUUUCAGAUAUUAUAUUACAACCUGUUUUACUACAAGUUGAAUUAUUUUUACAAUUAUCGCAACAUUUUUCUUUUGAUUUAUGUCUUAUUUUAGUAUUAGGUUUACUAGUUUAAACCGAUGUAUGAGUGAUACUUUUUAUAAAAAUUAUUCCAUCACUUUUUAUAAUAGUGCCUCCUUUAUUAUGUAAUAUAAAAUCUAGUCCUAAUACAUAAGCUACACUUAUAUUCAAGUCUCUUAUCCAUAUUUUAUCCAUUUUAUAAGUAGGUUUAUAGAAUUUUGAACAUGUGUUUAAAAAACUAACAUGUGCUUUAUCUAUAUAGUGUCUAUAUACGGUAUGUGUUCCGUCCAUUUGCAUGGCUGCGAGUGGUUUUGCUAAGGUUUUUAUUAGUCCCGGAGGUACUAUUUUCUUAUUGAGGAUGCUAUUAGUACAUCCCGAAUCUACUAAUGCUAAGGUUUCUAUUUUGUAUUCUCCUAAUUGAAGUCUUGUUAAUACUUUAACAGUAUUUAUUUUUUUAUCUUCAUUGCAUAUUAAGGUGUUAAAUUACUCAUUCAUUAAUUCUUGAUUGUCUAUUGAUGAUCGUGAUUCAAUAUGUUUUUCCAUUUGUAAUGUUAUUAUUUUGUCUUCUAAUUCUUUCACUUUUGUUUCUAAACUUAAUACUUUAAGGUUUAUUAAAGGUUCAUUUAUAUAUAUUUCUUUUUUAUUUUUGAUUAUUAGUCCUAGUUGGUUUUCUAUGCAAGUUAUGCAUCCUUCUUUAAAAUAUUUAUUACAUUUAGCUCUUUUGUUUUUGCUAGGAUACCAUUUGUACCAACAACAUGGUUUACUAUCUAAACCUUAGUCCUUUUCAAAAUUAUGUUCGCAUUCUAUUAUGUUCAUAAAAUUAACUUGUAAAUCUUCUAAAUUCAGGUCUUCUAGUCCUAUUCAUUAAUUAUUUCUUCUCCUUCUGAAUUGGAGGAUCUCUCUUCUUUAGUCUGUUCUUCUACACCGAUACUUACUACAGAGUAAAUACUCUCAUUAUCUGACAUAUAUUCGUCUGCAUUUAAUAAUGCUUCAUUAAAUUCUUCUACUAGUUGAGCAUUUCUAGUUUUUGUGUUAUAUCUUUUAGGACAAGUAUUUGUCAAAUGUUCUAUACUUCCGCAUGUGAAACAUUCUAACUUAUUUUUAUAGUUUCUAUCUGUUCUGUAUUUUCUAACAUGUCUAUCUCUAUUUAGAUAUGGUUUUCUAGUCGAAGUUUUUCUAACAAAGUAUCCUUUCUUACUAUAUCUUUCAUUAUAUUGUGUUUUUUUUACUUUUUUCUUUUAUAUUGGUCUUUAUCAUAGCUUUGAGCAAUGUAUAUUGCAUCUUUACAGAAAUUCAUCUCAUUUUGUUUUAAUUGUUUUUGUAUUUGUAGGUGCGUGCACUUUUUUUGUAGUAUUUCCAUUAUAUGUUAUAUCCUAUGUCCUAUUGACCAUUUAGCCUGAGGAUUUCGUGAUACUCCUUCUCGUUUACUCCAUUUAUCUUCUAUUUAUCUUCCUAAAGCUCCAGGCAAUUUAUUAAAUAACUUUUUUCCUAGAUCUUGAUCGAAAGCAUUACCACUAAUUGUACAGUAGUAAAAAUAAUCAUUUAAGAAUUUCUUUAUAUGGUACCAGUUACUUAUACUCAACAGUUCUAAUUUUAUUACUGUUCUUUGUAGUGUUACUAAUUCACUAUUAAGGUCUUUUCCUGUUGUUAGUGUAUGGAUUUUAUUUGUAAAGUUAUAUGGAUUUGGUCUUAAUGAUACCAAAUAUUGGAACUCUUGUGGGAAUUCUACCUUAUAGGCUUCCCAUAAUGCUUUAGUGGAUUCUCCUAAAAAGGUUUGUAAAUACUUAUACAUAGUUUCUGCAUCUAUUUCAGUAUAAUUUUUUAUGAAAUCUGCCACAACAAUUCCUUUCUAUAAGUGUAUUACUGAAUUCCAUCUUUGUGGAUCAUGUGCUGCUAUAUUUAAUAUUUUUCCUUUACUUCCUCCUUCCUGUAGUAUUAUUGGUUCUUCUAGAGGCAUUCUUUUUCCUUAUGGUUUUAGAUUUGCUGGGGGAACAUCACCCUGUCUAUACACUCUUCUAUGUGGUAUAUUUCCAGUACUAUUGUCUGCAGUAUAUCCUUGUUCUGUUGUUCUUUGUAAUGGGCUACUUGAGCUUGCUGACUCCAUUAAUUCUUUUUGGGUAAUUAUAGAUUCUAACUCAGUUGUAUCGCUAUCACUUUCUUAUAUUUCUUUUAUUAUAUUAUUAGCUUUUUCUAAUUUUUCUUGUAAUAUUUUUUCUAAUCUAUAGCCUCUAUUAUCUGUUCUGAAUUCACAUAUUUUAAAAUGAGAUGCUAACUUUUCUAAAUCUAAAUUUCCUAGUUUACAUCUUUUACAUUUAAACAGUUUAUUUAUGUUUCUAUAACUUAUCUCUUUUGCUUUUCCUAUUGCUAGGUUUACUGCAAAUUCUUCUUCUAAUAUUACUUCAAUGUUCAUUCCUUCUAAUGGUACUUCCUCCAUGACGCUUUCUUCUUCUAUAUCUCUGAGUUACAUAGUUAUAAUCAUCUAAUCGAGGGUUGACCCUUAGAAUUUAUGUACAUUAGAUGUGCAUCAGGAAUUACACUUUCUCUUUUCUUAAAAUUUCUAAUUUCCAAUCUAAUCCCGCGUAUUCUUCAGGAUUUAUCUUUACCAGCUUUAUUCCUUUAUUUUCCAUUACUUCUACAACAUCUUUUGUUUGUAAUUUAAAUCUAGUAUUACUGUUGUAUGUUAUUUUUCCUAAAAAUCCUAUGCACAUUAGUAGGUUUUUUCCAUUUUGCAUUUCUUCAUAUCCUUUAGUUUGUAAUCCUAUUUUAAUAUGUUUUUCAAAUUCUUUUAAAUUCAUCAUGAAGUCUGGACUUAUAUAAAAUUUUCCUCCAUUAUUUGUCAUAUAUACCUCAGUUAAUCGAAUAAUUGAUUUUUUUAGGUCUUACCAUCUGUCAUCAUAUAUUACAAUUAAUAUCUUUGUUCCUAAAUUUUUUCUAGUUAACCCCUUAACACCUAUUAUUAUUAAUCCCAUAUGCAUUAAGUCUUUUCUUACUUUAUUUAGUUCUAUUAGGAUUCUGAAUAUAUAAGAUUUAGGGAUACCAAAUUAUUUCCUAUUACUGAUAAUUGUUCUUCUCUAUAGUGCCUAUAUAAUUGAGAUUUGUUGAGGUAAUUUGUACUACAUAAGACUUUAGGGUUUAAUAGUCUUAAUUGAUUUUUUUUGAAAAAAAUUGUAUAUAUUUAUCCACAUCUAUUAUUUUAUCUAAUUGUUGAUUGUUUUCUUCUUUAGUUCUUUUAUUUAAUAUUCUUGAUAUAAAUUAUUACCUAUGCUAUUUUGAGAGUAGCUUGGUCUAGGUCUUUCUAAUCCUUCUUCGUUUCUUGAUCUAGCUGAAAAAAUGUCCAUUUCUUUUGUUUCUUUAUUGUUUUUUCUUUUUGUGGAGUGAUUUCUAUUUUAGUUAAUUUUUCUAUUAAUUCCUCUACCUCUGUUAUAUUUUUACUUUCUCUUUUUUCUUUGAAAUUUUUAUCUAUUUUGUUAUUUAUUUGUAAUAAUAGUGUUAUUAUUAUAUUAUUUUGUUUUAUGAUAACUUGAUCUGAUUUUGAAGAUCGAUUAAAAUCUUUGUAAUCUGUAGGAAGAGUUAUUCUUUUUUCUAUUAAAAUAGUAGCUUCUUUAUGUGUCUCAGUUUCUACUAAGUCUAUCAUGAAAGAACUAUUUCUUUUAAUACUGCUAAUUCUGUUUUAAUCUCUUGUAUUUUUAUAAUUAAUUUAUUUUUAUUUUCUUCUUUUUGUUUGUUUUUUAGUUCGCUUAAUUUUUUAUUUAAUUCAAUUCCUUGUUCCUUAAUAUAAUCUAAAUUACCCUCUAUUUUUUAAAAAAAACUGUUUUUGUUUAUUUUGAGUUUCUUCUUGUUCACCUAGUAAUGUUAUAAUUUUAUUAUUAUGUUCUCUAAUUUUUUCACUAAAAUUUAUUAUUAAGUCUAUUAGGGUAUUAUAUUGAGAGUCUUCUGUAGUGUGUAAGUAGUGUCCUCCGCUAUCAAAAUUACACUUUAUUACACUAUCGUCUUUUAGCCUUUUAAAUUUCUUUUCUAUAUUUAUCUGUAAAUCUAAAUAUUCUAGAUUUUUAGAGAAACAAUUUUUACUAUAUUCUAUCCUAAAGUUGUUAUUUUACACUUUUCCCUGUGGUCUUUUAUUCUUUUAGUAAAAAUAUAAAUUUUAUCUCUAAUUCCAAGUAAUUCCCACUUUAAAGCACUAUAUAUUCUUCGUUUAUAUGUCUUUGUAAAUAAAAAUUUUCUGGUGUAUAUAAUUGAUUCUCGUAUAUAUUUAAGUAUUCUAUUAUAGAUUUUUCUAUCUUUUGUAAUCUUUGUUUUUCUUCUAGUUCUCUAUAUAAAUACCAAUAAUUUAUUCUUAUACUUCUAGUAAAAGGAUGUUUUCUCAUAAAACUUGUAGCCUCCAAUCUAGAUAUUUCUUGAUCUAAGAUGUCUUAAUAGCUUGUAUUCUAAUUUUUUACAUAAAAAUAAUAGAUUAUUUAGUUUCUGACUAUUAUUUAAUUUUAUUUCUUCUAAAUAUUUUGUAUAUUCAAGAUAUAAUACUAAUAACUCUUUUUUAACCUUACGAUAUUCUUUAGUAUUUUUAUGGGGUCUUCUCAUAUAUGUUUAUCCCAUAGGGUUAUUGUAAAAACACUAUUUUUAAAAUAUUUUAUCCGUGCUAUAGUCUCUCUAAUUUCUUGAUUUACGGUAUCUAUCUUUAUAGUAACUUUAUUUUUUUCUUGUCUUACUACUAUCUGAAGUGCUUUUACCGAAAAUUUAUAUAAAUAUGUUGAAGAUAAUCGUAAUUCUAAAGUAGCUAGAUUAUUUUCUAGUGAUUUUUAUAUGAUUUUAAUAGUUUUAAAUAUUAUCUUAUUCCAAACAUAUAUGUCAUGGUUCCUUACUUCGACAGGGUACAAAUAUCUAAAUUUGAUAUUUUAGAUACUUUUUCAGACCUAUUGCCAAUACUAAGUAGCAGUCAAAAAUUUGAAUCCAUUUUCCUGAUGUUAUGCAUGGAUCAGGUAUAUCGUGGCGAAUUCUUCAGAAAAAAUUGUGUCUUCCACAAUGGAAUCUGAUAAGUGAGAUCUCGAGUAAGUGUUUACAUAAUCUUCUUCUGUCCGAAGAAAUGAUUCAUCGAAAUAAUGAGUCACCAUUGAUAUCGACACAUCUGAGAUCACCAAAUGCUCGGGAGUUCCUCUAUUCAAUCUUUUUCCUUCUUCUUGUUGCCGGAUAUCUCAUUUGUACACAGCUUCUCUUUGUUUCCCGGGCCUCUAUUGAGUUACAGACAGAGUUCGAAGGGUAAAAUCUUUGAUGACUCCAUCAUCUAUGAUUGAGUUGCGAAAACUUCUGGAUAAGUAUCCUACAUCUGAACCAAAUUCUUUCUUGUUAAAGAAUCUCUUUCUAGUUGCUUUGGAACAAUUAGGAGAUUCUCUAGAAGAAAUACGGGGUUCUGCUUCUGGCGGCAACAUGCUUGGUCCCGCUUAUGGGGUGAAAUCAAUACGUUCUAAGAAGAAAGAUUGGAAUAUCAAUCUCAUCGAGAUCAUCGAUCUCAUACCAAAUCCCAUCAAUCGAAUCACUUUUUUGAGAAAUACGAGACAUUUAAGUCAUACAAGUAAAGAGAUCUAUUCAUUGAUAAGAAAAAGAAAAAACGUGAACGGGGAUUGGAUUGAUCAGAAAAUAGAAUCCUGGGUCGCGAACAGUGAUUCGAUUAAUGAUGAAGAAAGAGAAUUCUUGGUUCAGUUCUCCACCUUAACGACAGAAAAUAGGAUUGAUCAAAUUCUAUUGAGUCUGACUCAUAUUGAUCAUUUAUCAAAUAAUGACUCUGGUUAUCAAAUGAUUGAACAACCGGGAGCAAUUUACUUACGAUACUUAGUUGACAUUCAUAAAAAGCAUCUAAUGAAUUAUGAGUUCAAUCCAUCCUUUUUAGCAGAAAGACGGAUAUUCCUUGCUCAUUAUCAGACAAUCACUUAUUCACAAACUUCGUGUGGGGAAAAUAGUUUUCAUUUCCCAUCUCAUGGAAAACCCUUUUCGCUCCGCUUAGCCUUAUCCCCCCUCUAGGGGUAUUUUAGUGAUAGGUUCUAUAGGAACUGGACGAUCCUAUUUGGUCAAAUACCUAGCGACAAACUCCUAUGUUCCUUUCAUUACGGUAUUUCUGAACAAGUUCCUGGAUAACAAGUCUAAAUGUUUCUUCUUGAUGAGAUCGAUAUUGAUGAUAGUGACGAUAUUGAUGAUAGUGACAAUCUUGAUGCUAGUGACGAUAUCGAUUGUGACCUUGAUACGGAGCUGGAACUGCUAACUAGGAUGAAUGGGCUAACUGUGGAUAUGAUGCUGGAAAUAGACCUAUUUUAUAUCACCCUUCAAUUCGAAUUAGCAAAAGCAAUGUCUCCUUUCAUAAUAUGGAUUCCAAACAUUCAUGAUCUGAAUGUGAAUUAGUCGAAUGACUUAUCCCUCGGUCUAUUAGUGAACCAUCUCUCCAAGGAUUGUGAAAGAUGUUCUACUAGAAAUAUUCUUGUUAUUGCUUCGACUCAUAUUCCCCAAAGAGUGGAUCCCGCUCUAAUAGCUCCGAAUAAAUUAAAUACGUGCAUUAAGAUACGAAGGCUUCUUAUUCCACAACAAUGAAAGCACUUUUUCACUCUUUCAUAUACUAGGGGAUUUCACUUGGAAAAGAAAAUGUUCCAUACUAACGGAUUCGGGUCCAUAACCAUGGGUUCCAAUGCACGAGAUCUUGUAGCACUUACCAAUGAGGUCCUAUCGAUUAGUAUUACACAAAAGAAAUCAAUUAAACACGCUAAUACAAUUAGAUCCGCUUUUCAUAGACAAACUUGGGAUAUGUGAUCCCAGGUAAGAUCGGUUCAGGAUCAUGAGAUCCUUUUCUAUUUGAUAGGAAGGGCUGUAGCACAAAAUGUACUUCUAAGUAAUUGCCCCAUAGAUUCUAUAUCUAUCUAUAUGAAGAAGAAAUCAUGUAAUGAAGGGGAUUCUUAUUUGUACAAAUGGUACUUUGAUCUUGGAAUGAGCAUGAAGAGAUUAACGAUACUUCUUUAUCUUCUAAGUUGUUCUGCCGGAUCGGUCGCUCAAGAUCUUUGGUCUUUAUCCGUACUCGAUGAAAAAAAGGGGAUCACUUCUUAUGGACUCGUUGAGAAUGAUUCUGAUCUAUUUCAUGGCCUAUUAGAAGUAGAGGGCGCUCUGGUGGAAUCUUCACGGAUAUAAAAAGAUUUCAUUCAGUUUGAUAAUGAUCGAGUGACAUUGCUUCUUCGGCCCGAACCGAUGAAUCCCUUAGAUAUGAUACAAAAGGGCUCUUGGUCUAUCCUUGAUCAGAGAUUUCUCUAUGAAAAAUAUGAAUCGGAGUUUGAAGAAGGGAGGGAGAAGGAGCCCUUGACCCGCAGGAGGAUUUAUUCAAUCACAUAGUUUAGGCUCCUAGAAUAUGGCACCCUUGGGGCUUUCUAUUUGAUUGUAUCGAAAGGCCCAAUGAAUUGGGAUUUCCUCAUUGAUCCAGGUCAUUUCGGGGCAAGCAGAUCAUUUAUGAUGAAGAGGAUGAGCUUCAAGAGAAUGAUUCGGGGUUCUUGCAA
rnacentral:lncRNA from 1 species